rnacentral:rRNA from 1 species
UACGGAGGAUCCGAGCGUUAUCCGGAUUUAUUGGGUUUAAAGGGAGCGUAGGUGGAUUGUUAAGUCAGUUGUGAAAGUUUGCGGCUCAACCGUAAAAUUGCAGUUGAAACUGGUAGUCUUGAGUACAGUAGAGGUGGGCGGAAUUCGUGGUGUAGCGGUGAAAUGCUUAGAUAUCACGAAGAACUCCGAUUGCGAAGGCAGCUCACUAGACUGUUACUGACACUGAUGCUCGAAAGUGUGGGUAUCAAACAGG